UUUUAGUAGAGACGGGGUUUCACCGUGUUGGCCAAGAUGGUCUCGAACUCCUGACCUCAGGUGAUAAGACCGCCUCGGCCUCCCAAAGUGCUGGGAUUACGGGCGUGAGCCACCGCAUCCGGCCUUUUUUUUUUUUUUUUUGAGACAGUCUCACUCUGUCACCCAGGCUGGAGUGCAGUGGCGCGAUCUCGGCUCACUGCAACCUGUGCCUCCUGGGUUCAAGCAAUUCCCACACCUCAGCUACCCAAGUAGCUGGGAUUACAGGCACACACCAUCAUGCCCAGCUAAUUUUUGUAUUUUCAGUAGCGAACGGUUUCACCAUGUUGGCCAGGCUAGU
rnacentral:lncRNA from 1 species